CAGAGGAAAUCGGAGCCGGGACCCGAUGCGAGUCCAGAGGGUAAAAAUGGACAGUGUGGUGAGGCCCGGCGAUGCCGACAGGGAGGCACCCCACAUACCCCCCGCACCAGGCCCCAGGUGAGCGCAGUACACCCAGGGCCCCCACUCCCCGCAAUGCGCCCUGACAACCCACCGGGACAGAGCCACCACAUGCCACCAGCCCACAGUACAGCCACAGCGCCCACCAGGACGGCCAAUCCAGCCCCCGCAGCCCACCAAGAGCCAUCGCACCAGCCUGGACCCGUCGGGCACGCAGGAGAACCCCCCCCGACCACAGCCCCCAGGUCCCGGGGACCCCCCAGCCACAGCAACACGGAUGAUGGUCCACCCCUGCCACCCCAUAGCCAUAAGGGGGCCGGGUCCCACCAGUGAGGCCAUAUUGGUGAAAUCCCCCCAUUACUCCCUAUUAAUAUGUCUCCCGAUCCCAGACUGGAGACAUUAUCCCUGCACCGUGGUAGUGUAACCCUGAGUGUCAUGUGGUGCAUUAAAAGUGGGGAGGCUGGGUGAGGCGUCCAGGGGGCGGGCCAGAGGACCACAGAGGAUGGCUACUCUGCAGCCUACCCUGACCCAAGUUCCCCGAGCCGUCCCAGACCUACCCCCAAGGUGUGAGUGUGUGUGGUGCAUUAAAAAGAAAUUAGAGAGCAGGGGAGGCAAGCAAGAGGGUGAUGGGGAAGAGACAAGGCCGUAGAGCCCUGCCAUCCGCCCCACCACAGAGCCCAUCGUUCCUGCCCCCACCUGCUCUCAGGGCCCUAACUGUUGUGUCCCUAUAUGUGCCUAAGAGUAACUAUAUACAGUGAUGUGUGAAGUAUGUGAAGUGCACAGUAAGAGGCAGUCUGGUGUGGAUCCGGCCCAUGAGGAGAGAGCAGCGGGGGAGACAGGUAGUAAGACCACUGGUACUGAUGCAGAGGGCCCCCAGAGCCCAGAGGCAAGAGGCCAAGGUGGGUCCACACGAACCCGACCGGCCCAGCCAGCACCAAAACCCCCAGAAGUCACAGCGCUGGAGCAGCGCCCUGGUAGGCGCCACAGCCCCACCACGGGCCAGCCGCAUGCAGCACCCUGCCCCGGAGGGAGGACCAGGCCGCACCACCAGGAAGCAAGGGCCAUGAGCCCCCACGCCCACCCCGGAGCCGGCACGUCCAGGAUGCAGGGCGCCCACCCCGCAGCAUCACCGAGACCCCACCCACCCCACCACACCCCAGGACCGCAGGAUCAUAUUUCAGAUGCUGCUGCUCACAUGCUCCAGUUUAGCAGCUUCAAAGCCACCAACAGGACUGUUGAUGCUGUUCUUCUGGUCCUUCUGCCUCCAGAUGUUCUGCCCAAACAGUCCACUUUAGUCUCAUCAGUCCAUCAGACUCCCAGAACUCUGCUUUGUUCCACACAUGAAGAUCUUGUUGUUCAGUUUUGUCAGACUUUAGUUGUUUCCAUCAUCAGGUCCUGCAGCUCUUUACCGAUAAAACAGGUUUUCUACCAGCUGCUGCUGUCAAACAUCUGCUUCCUCUUGGACAGAUUUUGUCCAGUUUGAUUUAUUGACUCAGUUCUUCCACUGAGAUUCCUCCUGGUCCAUUCUUCAAAUGAGCCAGAAAAUCUUCGUCUUCAUCAACAUUCAGUCUCCUGGUGAACUCCAAGUAUUUUCUAUCCUCAGACUUAGUAAAGAACAAAACACCAAAGUCAGACUGGAAGUCAGUCAGAGUCAGAUGAAGUCUGAGAUUUACUGUCAUUUCAGCUCCAUGCAGCAAACAGAGGCUGGUUCAUGAACACAGACUCUGAUUCUGAGCUGAAAAUCCACAUUUUUACCCUCUGACUGAUAUCUGCCCACUUGGAGCCUCAGUUCCAGGUUUUCAGUCCUUCAUCUGUUUCUGGGGAUGUUCCACUGUUAUCUUUUAGUUUAUCAUGACCUCAUCUUUGGUAAUGAUUCAGUCUAAACUUUUUACAAUCAUAGUUAUGAAACAUAAUCCUGACUCAUCUUGUAAAUAAAAAUAAAGGCCUUUAUGCUUUUAAAUAAAGUUUGUCUGCACACUUAAUAGAGUUGAUUGUUGUCAUGACUUUAUUUUAACUUGUUUUCCACUAAAAUCCUG
ensembl:lncRNA